rnacentral:tRNA from 1 species
UGGCUCAGUUGGUAGAGCAUGACAAUGUCAGGGUUGUGGGUUCAAUUCCCAC